rnacentral:misc_RNA from 1 species
GUUUGGCAGGAAAAAAAGCCGCGAAAAAAAGCACGCGGUCGCGCGCGCGACAACCGUACCGGGUAAAUCAAAACUUUUUUUCUGUAGAACUCUGGUUUAUUGAAACUACAGCCAGUGCUAAGCGCUCCUUCACGCCUGGACAACGCGCCAGAUCGAAGUUACGAUGCAGGACGGCGGGAAGACUGUCGAGGAACGCGCGGACGCCACGGCCGCUCGUAAACGAAACUUCUACAAGUUUGGCGAGCACGUCCUCAUGGAGGAAGAUCAACGCACCGAAUUCAAGGCUCACAAGGACAUGUCCAUCGAAGAGCUGUCGCAGGCAUGCAAGGACCAGCACUCCCGCCAGACCAUCUCUAGAACUAUCUGUGCCUUCUUGAACACUGGAAGAGGUGGGACUGUAUUUCUGGGAAUCCUUGACAAUGGUGAUGUCAAUGGCCUCCAUCUCACGGAAUACCAAAAAGACCACCUGCUUUUGAGUCUUGAAAAUUUGAUGAUGCGUUACAAGCCACCUGUCCCAAAACACAUGUAUGAGCUGCGAUUCGUUCCAGUCAUCUCUGAGGGUGUUCCAUUGCCAACAAAGCAAAGUCGUGAAAUGAACAGCAAAGAGAGGUUUAGGCCACACGAAUUGCAGUGUUCGAGGCCAUGCUGGUGCGACAAUGAAGCCACUGCUCAGUUGAACGUUGGUGGAGUGGUGAUGCGGUAUGUUGUUGAGAUCGACAUAUCUGCAUGGGAGAGCUCUGACUCAAGGAACAGCGUGCUCAACAUCAGCAAGAUGGGCAUCCAUCCCAUGUUUGACAACGAAGAGGAUAUCUGCUUCGUGCGUCGUCAGGGCAGCAACAUUCGGUGCACUCUCCAAGAUGUCAUUGACAUGACCCGUCAAGAAAUUAAAAAUUAUUACUCCUCCAAGUUGGACACUCAAAAGCCCCUAGAGGAAACCUCCAUGGGCACCGCAUAGAAUUUGUUAGUAUGUCGCGUUGCAAGUAGGGCUCGACAUGCCACGCCUGUUGAGAAAAAGCCCUCGGAGAAGACAUUUGUUGGUAU